rnacentral:rRNA from 1 species
CCCUUAGAUGUUCUGGGCCGCACGCGCGCUACACUGACUGGUUCAUCGAGUAUACAACCUUGACUGAUAGGUCUGGGUAAUCUUCUCAAAGCCAGUCGUGCUGGGGAUAGAUUAUUGUAAUUUUUAAUCUUCAACGAGGAAUUCCUAGUAAACGCGAGUCAUCAACUCGCAUUGAUUACGUCCCUGCCCUUUGUACACACCGCCCGUCGCUACUGCCAACUGAGAUGGGUCCUGAAUUGUUAGGAACGCCCGUCAAGGGGCCUACCCGGUCCCUAGUGCGGUGACGAGAAUAACUGUAAAUGGCAUAUCUUGUAGGGAGUAAAAGUCGUAACA